UUAAGCUAAGAAGAGCGUAGGGAGAAUGCCUUGGCAUUAGGAGCCGACGAAGGACGUGAUAAGCUGCGAUAAGCUGCGGGGAUCAGCAAGUAUGAAUUGAUCCGCAGAUUUCCGAAUGGAGCAAUCCGUAUGUGUAUGCACAUACAUCAUAUACUGAAUCAAAUAGGUAUAUGAGGGGAACCGCCUGAACUGAAACAUCUAAGUAGGGCGAGGAAGAGAAAUCAACCGAGAUUCCGCUAGUAGUGGCGAGCGAACGCGGAAGAGGCCAAACCGAAGGUAGCAAUAUCUUCGGGGUUACGGACAGCAUUUAGUAUUGAUAAUUUCUAGUUGAAACGUGUGGGAAAACGUACCGAAGAGUGUGAGAGUCACGUAAGCGAAAGAGAAAGUCAGCGAGCUGUAUCCAAAGUACCGCGGGACACGUGAAACCCCGUGGGAAGAUGGGGGGACCAUCCUCCAAGCCUAAAUACUACCUAAUGACCGAUAGCGAAUAGUACUGUGAAGGAACGGUGAAAAGAACCCCGGGAGGGGAGUGAAAAAGAACCUGAAACCCUAUGCUUACAAGCACCGAGAGCACGUCAAAGUGUGAUCGGGUACCUUUUGUAGAAUGGUCCGGCGAGUUAUUGUAUGCGGCAAGGUUAAGUGCUUAAGGCACGGAGCCGAAGCGAGAGCAAGUCUGAACAGGGCGAAAAAGUCGUAUGCAAUAGACCCGAAACCGAGUGACCUAUCCAUGUCCAGGCUGAAGUGGAGGUAAAACUCCAUGGAGGGCCGAACACACGUCCGUUGAAAAGGCCGGUGAUGAGGUGUGGAUAGCGGAGAAAUUCCAAUCGAACUCGGAUAUAGCUGGUUCUCUCCGAAAUAGCUUUAGGGCUAGCCUCGUGAAAGAUUACUGGAGGUAAAGCACUGAAUGGGCUAGGGGUCGAAAGAUUACUGAACCCUAUCAAACUAAGAAUGCCAGAUAAUUGAUUCACGGGAGUCAGACAAUGUGAGAUAAGUCUCAUUGUCAAAAGGGAAACAGCCCAGACCCACAGCUAAGGUCCCUAAACAUUGUUAAGUGGAAAAGGAUGUGGGGUUGCAUAAACAACCAGGAUGUUGGCUUAGAAGCAGCCACUCAUUAAAAGAGUGCGUAAUAGCUCACUGGUCGAGUGACCCUGCGCCGAAAAUUCAACGGGGCUAAACAAUGUACCGAAGCUUGGGAUUCUAGAUUUAUCUAGAGUGGUAGGAGAGCGUCGAAUAAGGGGUGAAGUCAGAGCGGAAGCGCUGGUGGACUUUAUUCGAGUGAGAAUGCCGGAAUGAGUAGCGAGAAUUAUGUGAGAAUCAUAAUGGCCGAAAAUCUAAGGUUUCCUGAGGAAGGUUCGUCCGCUCAGGGUAAGCCGGGGGCUAAGGCGAGGCGGAGACGCGUAGCCGAUGCACAUACGGUUGAAAUUCCGUAGCCACCGAAAGAUUUAAGUACAGGGACGCUUUAGAAGUGAUGUUGCCGGGCGAUGGUUGACCCGGUCGUAAGGGAUCGAAAAUGAGUAGAGAAGUCAUCAUGGAAAGAGACAAGAAAAGCUGUAUGGAUAUCUUAGGUGCCCGUACCGCAAACCGACACAGGUAGAUAGGAAGAAGAUUCUAAGGCCAACGGGAGAAGGGUUGUUAAGGAACUCGGCAAGUUGACCCCGUAACUUAGGGAUAAGGGGUGCUCAAGUGAUUGAGCCGCAGAGAAUAGGCCCAGGCGACUGUUUAGCAAAAACACAGGUCUCUGCUAAAUCGAAAGAUGACGUAUAGGGGCUGACACCUGCCCGGUGCCGGAAGGUUAAGAGGAGAUGUGAGAGCAUUGAAUUGAAGCCCCGGUAAACGGCGGCCGUAACUAUAACGGUCCUAAGGUAGCGAAAUUCCUUGUCAGGUAAG
rnacentral:rRNA from 1 species